GUUGCUGCAAUCUCUAUCUCUAACUAGCCUUGGACUUGUGAGGUGCCCUCUUUGCUUGAGAGGCCACUCUGUCCAUACACCCUGGGGUGUGGUAACUGAGGGGUGUCCCCAGUCAUGUUGGGAGGAAAGCAGACAGACCACAGAGUUCUGUACUGGACACAGUCUGUACAGUGCCUGACUCACAGCACUGGAGGAUUGUCCAUCCUUGUUCCCAGAGAGGGGCUAGGCCAGCCAAACCCCUCACUUCAUACUCUGACAAUGGAUCGAAGGGGCCUGGAGCAAACUGCAAUACCCCUGUCCGUGGACAUCUCCAUGUUCUGUGAGGAACCCGGUAUGAACAUGGAUGUCACAGUGAGCUCCAGGCCUUCGACUUUUGGCUGGGUCCUCCAGCGCUUCAGCAUGCACACAGACCUUUCCCAUUCUUCCACCGCUGACUCUACAGGUGGCCAUUUACUGGGGAUUGAACUCAAAGCUCUCUCACUGAGCUACAUCUCUAGACCUUUUCUAAAAAUUGUUUGUUUUGAAACAAGUUCUCGCUAAGUUGCUAAAUUGCCC
ensembl:lncRNA